CCUACGGGAGGCAGCAGUGAGGAAUAUUGGUCAAUGGACGCAAGUCUGAACCAGCCAUGCCGCGUGCAGGAAGACGGCUCUAUGAGUUGUAAACUGCUUUUGUACGGGGGUAAACGCAGAUACGCGUAUCUGUCUGAACGUAUCGUACGAAUAAGGAUCGGCUAACUCCGUGCCAGCAGCCGCGGUAAUACGGAGGAUUCAAGCGUAUCCGGAUUUAGUGGGGUUAAAGGGGGCGUAGGCGGUCGGAUAAGCUAGAGGUGAAAUCCCGAGGCUCAACUUCGGAAUUGCCUCUGAUACUGUUAGGCUAGAGAGUAGUUGCGGUAGGCGGAAUGUAUGGUGUAGCGGUGAAAUGCUUAGAGAUCAUACAGAACACCGAUUGCGAAGGCAGCUUACCAAGCUACGUCUGACGUUGAGGCACGAAAGCGUGGGGAGCAAACAGGAUUAGAUACCCUGGUAGUC
rnacentral:rRNA from 1 species